rnacentral:rRNA from 1 species
UACGUAGGUGGCAAGCGUUAUCCGGAUUUACUGGGUGUAAAGGGCGUGUAGGCGGGAUGUCAAGUCAGGUGUGAAAUUCCAGGGCUUAACCCUGGGCGUGCACUUGAAACUGAUGUUCUUGAGUGAUGGAGAGGCAAGUGGAAUUCCGUGUGUAGCGGUGAAAUGCGUAGAUAUACGGAGGAACACCAGUGGCGAAGGCGGCUUGCUGGACAUUAACUGACGCUGAGGCGCGAAAGCGUGGGGAGCAAACAGG